CCUACGGGAGGCAGCAGUGGGGAAUAUUGCACAAUGGGCGCAAGCCUGAUGCAGCCAUGCCGCGUGUGUGAAGAAGGCCUUCGGGUUGUAAAGCACUUUCAGCGGGGAGGAAGGCGUUAAGGUUAAUAACCUUGGCGAUUGACGUUACCCGCAGAAGAAGCACCGGCUAACUCCGUGCCAGCAGCCGCGGUAAUACGGAGGGUGCAAGCGUUAAUCGGAAUUACUGGGCGUAAAGCGCACGCAGGCGGUCUGUCAAGUCGGAUGUGAAAUCCCCGGGCUCAACCUGGGAACUGCAUUCGAAACUGGCAGGCUAGAGUCUUGUAGAUGGGGGUAGAAUUCCAGGUGUAGCGGUGAAAUGCGUAGAGAUCUGGAGGAAUACCGGUGGCGAAGGCGGCCCCCUGGACAAAGACUGACGCUCAGGUGCGAAAGCGUGGGGAGCAAACAGGAUUAGAUACCCCUGUAGUC
rnacentral:rRNA from 1 species